rnacentral:snRNA from 1 species
GUGCUCGCUUCAGCAGCACAUAUACUAAAAUUGGAACAAUGCAGAGAAGAUUAGCAUGGCCCCUGUGCAAGGAUGAUAUGCAAACUCAUGAAGCAUUCCAUAUUUUU